rnacentral:rRNA from 1 species
UGCGUAGGCGGAAAAUUAAGUCAGUGGUGAAAUCCUGCAGCUCAACUGUAGAACUGUCAUUGAUACUGAUUUUCUUGAAUACAGUUGAGGUAGGCGGAAUAUGUAAUGUAGCGGUGAAAUGCUUAGAUAUUACAUAGAACACCGAUUGCGAAGGCAGCUUACUAAACUGUGAUUGACGCUGAGGCACGAAAGCGUGGGGAGCGAACAGGAUUAGAUACCAUGGUAGUCC